UAUUUUCUCUUGGGACCUCGCCUGGGUGGACACAUACAUUCAACAAAGGCCACCUACUCCAUAUAUAUUUUAACUAAGAGACAUACUGCUCUGCUGCAUCCUUUCCCUAUUUUGGAACUUGGAAGAGUGUCUCCCAGAGGACACUGCGAAAUUUUUUUUUUGCCCUAUAUUUUCUCUUGGGACCUCGCCUGGGUGGACACAUACAUUCAACAAAGGCCACCUACUCCAUAUAUAUUUUAACUAAGAGACAUACUGCUCUGCUGCAUCCUUUCCCUAUUUUGGAACUUGGAAGAGUGUCUCCCAGAGGACACUGCGAAAGUAUGUACAUCUGUUGUCUCUUGGGCUCCUACCAUUGUAACUCCUGCUUGUUAACAUUGUAAGCUAUCUCCCUGCCAGGACAGCUAGCAGCCUAAACACCUUCCAUUCCCUUUCCCAUCUUUAUCUGAGUUCUGUCCCUGCUUCUCCAUAUUCCACCUAUCUAGUCCUAAGACCUUCCUAGUUGCUCAAGUGCACUUCUGCAUUUG